ensembl:lincRNA 4933417D19Rik RIKEN cDNA 4933417D19 gene
AGAGCGGCCCUACCCCCUCUAAGUGGUCUGCCAUCUGACCUAAGGACUAGGCCAGCCCUGGACCUGGCCGCCUAACCUGGACCCAGGCAGGAAUAAGAUCCCUGCUGUUCUGAUCUGCUGUUCUCUUCCCAGUCUUAGCAGCCUCCUUUUACAGAUGGGGACCAGUCCACAUCUUAGAGGAGUUAGGAUGACCAUAGGACAUCAAGUACCUCCCUCACCCACCCACGUCUACCCUAGAAUUUCCAUGGCAACUAGGGCAGUGAGACUACUUUGAGGACAGCCAUAUAAGUUCUAGGUGAAUGACUGGUAGGCAUGCAUCCCAACACGCCCACGAGCCCUCAACGCAGAACCCUCCCCUGAAGAGGAUCUGCAGCCCUCAAACAGCCUGGACAAGGACGGGAGUGAAGGAGCACCACUGAUGCCAUACCUUGAUAGUGGUGAACUCCUUUCUCCAGGGCAGCAGCCAGCCACAAAAUGACAAGCUGGUACUCGACAAGGCCAAGGCCACGUUUAGUGAACUCUUGCAGCCCCAUGGUAACAAGCACUGGGAUAAAGGAAUUCAAGUCAGGCGUCUCCUGGGUGCUGCCGGAACCAAAAGAAGUUGGACUUCAAGGUGGAGGCAUAGGCUCAACAUCAUGCCGAGGAAAUCCAAAGCGAUGCCGGGAGAGGUUGGAACACAAGUGUUCAAUAAAUGCCCAAUAACCAAGUUACAUCUAGCCUGACUCCAAGAGGCUCCAACGACCCCACUACUACUGCCGUCUGGGACUGGAAACUCCCCCGUGUCCUGCCACCACCUCCUCACAGCAACCCCAGCUGCCAUGGGUAUUUCCUUUCUUGGGUGGGUCAGCUCGCCUCCGUGGAAGAUGCUGCCUGUGCUCGGAUGCCAGCAUCACCCUAGGGCCCCAGCAGAACCAAAGGGCAUCGCUGUGUGGGACAGUCCAUUGUGUGUGAGAGUAGGCUGAAGAUUACUCAGGCGCCUUCAGGGAACUGCUGUGGGCUCAGGACUACAGUAAUGACUCAAUUCCAGCCGUCCUAAUGGUACCCUGCAGACACUUGCUAUCCCAGAGCGGGGAAGUCCACAAUUUCCUGGCUGGGAACAGCCCUGGGAAGAGACUGCUUCUGUGCAGAGGAUCUGGGGUUGGGCUGUCAGCUGUGAUCUCUAGGAGGCUGGCUGUGUUGCCUGAGUCUUGGCUGCCUAGUGGGUAAACGAACAAGUCACAUGGACUUCG